GCCCGCGGCCGGGCGGCUCUCACCGCGCUCCGGGCCUCUCUCCUGGCGGCCCGCCGGCCGGCCGUCGCAGGCCCGGCUGAGGCGGCGGCGACGCCGGAGCCGCAGACUGCUGAGCGGCGGGGACGCAGCUGCACUAACCGACUCCCGGCCGCUCGGCUCGGCUCGGCCGUACUCGGAGACGCUCGGCUCCGCUCGGUCCUCGCUCGGCUCAGCUGGGGGGCGUGGCCCGAGGCCCCCCGCCCAAGUCGCCUCUGGCGGCCGGUGGGCGGGGCUUCAAUGCGAGCGCGAGCCCCUGACGUCCCGAGACCAGACCUUGCCCCGGGGCGCAUGCGCGGGCUGCGGUCCUGCUCUGCCCCGCGUGGAACUUGAGGGGGUUGGUGAAGAAGGGGACAGGGGCGGAUGCUGCGGCCCCAGAGGUUACCGGCUUUUGUAUUCCAUAUCCUGGUCUUUCUGGAGGACCAGCUAAGGAAGGCCACACCAAGCUACACUUUGAAAAGGAUGUGGGCAGGGGCCAGAGGCCGUCCCCGCCCUCUCCCCCACCCCCGUCCAGUGUUUCCCAGCUCGCGUCACCGUGGGACUCCGUCUUUCUUUCAUCCCACCAACAGGCGCGUCACUGCAGUUUUGAAACUCUUCUGUUUCCUAAACAGGACAUCAACUCCUCAUAACUGCUUUCCUAACGUUACAUUUUCAGGGACUUGAAACUUGAAAGCAUCAAUGAGCCCCCUCAUAGAAUAAUGCUGGCCCUUCUUCACAGCUUCUGUUGUGUAACCUGUAACACCUGGGAUGGGAGUGGGUCUUCUCCUGAGUUUCCUCACAUGCUCCAGGCACCGUGUUUGUUAUAGAGCCCAAGUCUGCAGCACAUGUGCUCAGGAAGUGGUCCCCACCUUUAGGAUCUAGUGAUUAAUAAACAGCAAGAGCUCUGCAGCCUGACUAACUGGGUUGGAAUCCCAGAUCUGCAUUAUACCAGCAGAUGAAUAGUUGGUAGAGUGACUUGGGACGUGCUACUUAAUCUCUCCUCCGUAAAGGAGCUAUGAAAAUAUUAGUACCGAAGCCAAUAGGAAUGGUUGAAAGGAUUAAAUAACAGCACAGAGCCUGAAAACCAGUCGACAUAUACGAAGGUGGGCCAAAGUAGCCCUGUGGGAUGCAGAGGUAAAGGAGGCACUCUCCCGACCACUGAGAACUCAGUAUUUUGGAGGAGACAGACAUGUAAAGAAGCGCUUCUGGAAGAAAGUAUGUCAUGCUCUAUGGAUAUGCCCACUGCUUUGGGAAGUAGAGAGAAGGACAUAAUUAAUACUACAUAAGAGAGUGUGGAAAGGCUUCCCAGAGGAGGUGACAUUAGGCUGGUUCUAAAGAGAUGAGGAGGAGGAGACUCCAGGCAGAGGAAACAGCAUGCACGUAAAACCAGUGUUGGGAGGUUUGUCACAAAUCUCGUUUACCCAAGGAGGCAAAUUAUUAUUUUUUAAAUAAUUUAAGAAGAUUCCAGGUGGUUCCUAUAAUGUCACCUGCACUCACUCACAUUCUGAUGAGCUUUCUCAAGCGGGAAAGAAACUGUCAGAAGUAUAGUUGAUGCAAUAGAGUUACAACCUGAGCUCCAUUUUAUUGGAGUGAGCUACACCUGUGACUUUUUUUUUAAGGUCAGGGUCCAGAGGCAAAGAGCAUGUAUCAUGAGAUGUUUACUGGCUGCAAGUACCAGUUACCGAUCAGGCCAGUUUAAGGAAAAUAAAAGGAGAACUUAAAGCUUAGGGUGGGGGCAGGAGGGUGGUUCUCUCAGGCCAAGGGCAAGAACCCAGCUGGACUUCUGAAUGAAUUAGAAGCAGAGCAAGGGUUACCAGUAGGACCAUCUCUCUGCAAACUUGUUUUCUCUGAUUCAUGAUAAUAAAAUGGACAUAUGUCUGCCAGCCACUCCCAAGUACAUGACAAUUCCAGAGAGAGACUAAAAAUCCCUAAUUGUUCCAAUUUCCAAAUCCCAGAAAAGAGGCUCUCAUUGCCCCAACUUGAGUCAGGUGCCCCCUCCUAGUUCACCAGGAACCCACCCCUGUGGAUCAGGACCACAAAAAAGGAAUUGUUUGGGGUUGAGGAGAUAUCUUAAUAGAACUCCCUCAUAGAACCAUUAAUUUCACAUAUUGGAAAAACAUCUGGGAGACAUUUGAUUGUGACACAGGAGAUGAUUAUUGAGUUUCUGAUUUCUGCUUAGUAGGGAGGCCUCUAUAGGCAGCAAUCAAAGCAGGAAGUUGUUCUUUUCCCAACAAAAAGUGGACAGAAACUGGGGUGGUCUCCAUAAGUCCUCUGUAGUGGGUAUUCUGAUGGCCUCCUGUGGUAGUUGACAUUAAUGCCAGCCACCAAAGAUUUUAGGGUUCGCUUGUGAGACACCUGUUAGGAUUGUACUUCUUUACAUCUGGGAGUCAGGAGUGGCCAUGUCACUUACUUUUAUGAUGGUCAAUAAAGUAUGAGUAGAAGUAUAUCACUCCUGGAUCCACAUUUUAGGAGCUAGCAGGCUAUUUUUUGUUUUCUCUUUCCCUCAGUAACAGCAAAAGACAAUGCUUGAGAUAGUUGUAGUUCCAUCAGCCUAGGUCCUGGAGUGAGAAAACGUGGAAUAAUGCCCCUAGAUGACCCACAGUGGAUAUGUAGUAUUAGCAAGAAAUAAACCUUUGCUAUUAUAAAAAAAAAUUCGUGCUUGUUUGUUAUCACAGCAAAACCCAGCCUAUCCUGAGAGAUGCAUCUUCCUAACAUCCAGUCUAUCUCACCCCCCAUUGUACAGCAAGACAAUCUGAGUGGGAGGGACCCUCAUCUCCCACAUGGGUGUGGACCCUAAGCCAGUUGAAGUAAUCUCAUGCAUCUUGUAUUGGUUGCUCCAGGGAUAGCCCUCUUACCCUGGCCUACAUCUAUCAGUACCCAAUAUUCACCUCUUUGUAAUAGUUGCAUAAAACCUCCACUGUCUCCCUGGAUGUCAGCAAGGAGCGAUUUGCUGCUGGCAGCUACUUUGUGACCAGGAAGAGAGUCAGCCUAACGAUGACACCAAUGCAUGGAAAAGGAAAGGGCAGAUGAACUGAAGAGAAACAGAGCUGGGGUGCUGAUCAAGGCUUACCUGAAUCCAUCUACCCAAUAAAGUUACGUAAGUCAAUAAAUUCCCUUUAGCAUUGAUUCUCAUUUGACUUGGAUUCUCUUAUACUUGAAACCAAAAGCAUUCCAACUGUGACUGUUCACUGCAUACUUCUGAGUAGUAGCCAGUGCCAUUAACUCACAGGUGGGAAAGGGUCUGAGCUAUGAACAAGUGCAGGAAGAGAAGCUGAAAAUUCUACCUGAUUUAUAUGCCAGUUCCUUAUCAAGAAUGAGUAUCACGACGCAGGCACAGCACAG